rnacentral:rRNA from 1 species
AUUGAACGCUGGCGGCAGGCCUAACACAUGCAAGUCGAACGAGUGGCGGACGGGUGAGUCAGGUCUGGGAAACUCCCUGAUGGAGGGGGAUAACUACUGGAAACGGUAGCUAAUACCGCAUACCAUCAGAUGGGCCCAGAUGGGAUUAGCUAGGGGUGGGGGUAACGGCGCACCAAGUCGACGAUCCCUAGCUGGUCUGAGAGGAUGAACAGCCACACUGGAACGUGGACACGGUCCAGACUCCUACGGGAGGCAGCAGUGGGGAAUAUUGGACAAUGGGCGAAAGCCUGAUGCAGCCAUGCCGCGUGUAUGAAGAAGGCCUUCGGGUUGUAAAGAACUUUCAGCGGGGAGGCGUUACCCGCAGAAGAAGCACCGGCUAACUCCGUGCCAGCAGCCGCGGUAAUAC